CCUACUUUCGAGUUUGAAUUUCAAACGAAGGAAGUACAGAGAGAGAGAUGGGCACAGCCGAAGCCGUCCCUUCGAAUCCUGCGCACUGCCACCCCCAGAUAUUUCGGCAUUAAAUGUGCGCGUGCCGGAGUCUUUUCGAAUUGGAGUGGUACGAGGGGAUGCUUCGAAAUUCCCGCAGGUACACUAGCCUAGGUACGGCGCAAUUAUAAUCCUGCCAACCGCCAGCCGCUUUUAGCCGCCUGCCAGGGGGAGUGGGACACGUGUCGGAUGCGGACCGGCCUGGGGGGAUUCGCGAUCAUUAUGGCGCCAGAUCCCAGGGUCUAUUUAAACCCGUCCUCCCACCUUUAGGUGUCCCACUCCGUUCCUGAGUUCUCACCAGCGUCUGCCUUCUCUCCGAGAGCCCUGUUUCAGUGAGCGUCUUCUCGAGCCGUAGGC
rnacentral:lncRNA from 1 species